AGACUCAAUCCCUCGGGUUUCCGAGGAGAUUGGACUUGGGUGUAUGCCUCUUCUGGCUCAUCUUAAAAGACUUAGUGGGAUAGCACUGUAGUCGACGUAAUAAGUUUCGUCGGUAAAAGUGUGAUGUCUGCUCACAAUCGCCCUUGGGCACUUUUGA
rnacentral:misc_RNA from 1 species